ACGAACGCUGGCGGCGUGCUUAACACCUGCCAGUCGAACGGAAAGGCCCUGCUUUUGUGGGGUGCUCGAGUGGCGAACGGGUGAGUAACACGUGAGUAACCUGCCCUUGACUUUGGGAUAACUUCAGGAAACUGGGGCUAAUACCGGAUAGGAGCUCCUGCUGCAUGGUGGGGGUUGGAAAGUUUCGGCGGUUGGGGAUGGACUCGCGGCUUAUCAGCUUGUUGGUGGGGUAGUGGCUUACCAAGGCUUUGACGGGUAGCCGGCCUGAGAGGGUGACCGGCCACAUUGGGACUGAGAUACGGCCCAGACUCCUACGGGAGGCAGCAGUGGGGAAUAUUGCACAAUGGGCGGAAGCCUGAUGCAGCAACGCCGCGUGCGGGGUGACGGCCUUCGGGUUGUAAACCGCUUUCGCCUGUGACGAAGCGUGAGUGACGGUAAUGGGUAAAGAAGCACCGGCUAACUACGUG
rnacentral:rRNA from 1 species